UCUAGACAAAACAAGUCCACCGUGGGCUUUGAAAAACGCUUUCCUUGAUAAAAUUUAAGCGUUUUAUAAGAGGAUGCCGGGGAAGGUUUUCCGGUUUAUCCCGGAGGGCUUGUAGCUCAGUUGGUUAGAGCGCGCGCUUGAUAAGCGUGAGGUCGGAGGUUCAAGUCCUCCCAGGCCCACCAGUUUAUCCAUUACUUUCAUAAGUGCUUUUAAAAAAUAAGUACUUCUAAAAAGAUUGCUUCUAAAAAGAUUGCUUCUAAAAAGAUUGCUUCUAAAAAGAUUGCUUCUAAAAAGCUUAUCAAAAUUGGCAGGCUUAUUGCUUUUGUGUGAGUAAUCCAAAGUUAAAGCAAAUUAAUGGCAAAAAAACAGUUCAAAUGCUAAAUACUAAGGAGUCAAAAUUCCUUGCAAAGUGAUUUUUACAGCGUCCAUUUGGUUGAUAUAAAUUCCAAAUGCUCAUAGACGUCAAUGCCUAUAUGAAACUAUCGGUUCAAUCAUAUCGCUUUGAGUUAUAUAGAUUUUGUAAUCCCUCUUUUGAUCGUUUUAAACGCUUUAUCCUGAUUUAGGGGCCGUAGCUCAGCUGGGAGAGCACCUGCUUUGCAAGCAGGGGGUCGUCGG
rnacentral:misc_RNA from 1 species